UACGAAGGGGGCUAGCGUUGCUCGGAAUCACUGGGCGUAAAGCGCACGUAGGCGGCUUUUUAAGUCAGAGGUGAAAUCCUGGAGCUCAACUCCAGAACUGCCUUUGAUACUGAGAGGCUUGAGUCCGGGAGGGGUGAGUGGAACUGCGAGUGUAGAGGUGAAAUUCGUAGAUAUUCGCAAGAACACCAGUGGCGAAGGCGGCUCACUGGCCCGAUACUGACGCUGAGGCACGAAAGCGUGGGGAGCAAACAGG
rnacentral:rRNA from 1 species